UCUUGGUGAGGAGCCGGAGGAGUCUGCACAGGUGGAAGUCAUCUGCCUCAUCAGAGCGCGCGGGGGAUUUAGGAGCGGCAGAUCCUUCCUUCAGUGCUAGAUGAUUACGUUCAUCGGGUUUUUGUCUCUCCGCUCGUGAGUUCUCCUGCGAGCACCAGCCUGCCUGCUCCGUUGCUCUCCCCGCCGCAGCUUCACUCCUGCAAGCCUCCGGUUCUCCGAACACCCCCUCCUCGCACUCACCUUCGGACCGCCGAACUACCCUCCACUCAGAAUCCUGGCACCUCCCCCAUGCUACAGCAAACCACCGUGAAGCCCACCUGGUCGAGUCAUUCUCACCCCCUCACUGAAGUCCUGCGGUUUGAUAUAUUGUGUGUCCUGUUGAAAAAUAAAUACUCACUAUUUUCUAA